rnacentral:rRNA from 1 species
AGAGAAAUUGACGGUACCUGCAGAGAAAGCGCCGGCUAACUACGUGCCAGCAGCCGCGGUAAUACGUAGGGCGCGAAGCGUUGUCCGGAAUUAUUGGGCGUAAAGAGCUAGUAGGCGGUUUGUCGCGUAUGCUGUGAAAGGCCGGGGCUUAACCCCGUGUAUUGCAGUGGGUACGGGCAGACUAGAGUGCAGUAGGGGAGACUGGAACUCCUGGUGUAGCGGUGGAAUGCGCAGAUAUCAGGAGGAACACCGAUGGCGAAGGCAGGUCUUUGGGCCUGUAACUGACGGUGAGAAGCGAAAGCAUGGGGAGGGAACAGGAUUAGAUACCCUGGUAGUCCAUGCCGUAAACGUUGGGCACUAGGUGGGGGGGACAUUCCACGUUUUCCGCGCCGUAGCUAACGCAUUAAGUGCCCCGCCUGGGGAGUACGGCCGCAAGGCUAAAACUCAAAGAAAUUGACGGGGGCCCGCACAAGCGGCGGAGCAUGCGGAUUAAUUCGAUGCAACGCGAAGAACCUUACCAAGGCUUGACAUAUACUGGACCGCAUCAGAGAUGGUGUUUCCCUUCGGGGCUGGUAUACAGGUGGUGCAUGGUUGUCGUCAGCUCGUGUCGUGAGAUGUUGGGUUAAGUCCCGCAACGAGCGCAACCCUCGUUCUAUGUUGCCAGCACGUUAUGGUGGGGACUCAUAGGAGACUGCCGGGGUCAACUCGGAGGAAGGUGGGGAUGACGUCAAAUCAUCAUGCCCCUUAUGUCUUGGGCUUCACGCAUGCUACAAUGGCCGGUACAGAGGGUUGCGAUACUGUGAGGUGGAGCUAAUCCCUAAAAGCCGGUCUCAGUUCGGAUUGGGGUCUGCAACUCGACCCCAUGAAGUCGGAGUCGCUAGUAAUCGCAGAUCAGCAACGCUGCGGUGAAUAAGUUCCCGGGCCUUGCACUCACCGCCCGUCAAG